UUAAGUUCAGCGGGUAUCCCUACCUGAUCCGAGGUCAACCUGAGAAAAAUGGUUGAGACCGGGCCGGGUGGUCCCUUACAUGCGUGCUUAACAAAGCUCAUUGCAUCUAGGGUCACACUCGACACGGUCAUUAUCUUUGGGACAUGUCCUUUAGCCGGACAGCGAGUCCAAUAGCAAGCCAAGCUUGACGUUUGAUAAUG
rnacentral:misc_RNA from 1 species